UACGGAGGGUGCAAGCGUUAUCCGGAAUUACUGGGCGUAAAGCGUGCGCAGGCGGUUUUGUAAGUCUGUCGUGAAAUCCCCGGGCUCAACCUGGGAAUGGCGAUGGAGACUGCAAGGCUAGAGUUUGGCAGAGGGGGGUAGAAUUCCACGUGUAGCAGUGGAAAUGCGUAGAUAUGUGGAGGAACACCGAUGGCGAAGGCAGCCCCCUGGGUCAAAACUGACGCUCAUGCACGAAAGCGUGGGGAGCAAACAGG
rnacentral:rRNA from 1 species